GACAAACAAAACUGGGCCUCUCUACCCAAUUGGAACGACUUAACUUUAAGUCAUUACAUCGACGUCAUAUAAUAUUUUGUCGGAUCUGAUUUGGGUUAAAAGUUAAAAACCCGUCUGAACAAUCCGGCUCCUACCGAAAUCCACUUCUCGGAGAGAAACAGCGAUCAGCAGAAACCAUGGAUUCGAAGAAUCGGCGAAAGUAUUCGAAAUUUCGUAUUACGAUGCAGAUACUGGAGAAGAAGAAGAAGAUUCAUGACCUUAUAAAAAGAGCUUCUUCCGUAGUCGAUCCUCUUUCUCCCUUUGAUUCCUUCCGCCGUUACACAAAAAAUGAAUUAUCUGUUUACUUGGAACCUGGCCGUGGAGAUAGACUUUCCUCGUCCCUGAAACAACACAUUCGAAAACUCUUGAAGAAGAACAUGGAAGGAUUCUACGGGUCUAACUGGCCAAUUCAAGCUAAGGUGAAGCGUACGGAGAUGACUUCUCCAGACGCACGUUAUAUAUUUGUGCGGGAGCUGCGUUAUGGUAGUAAAGCCUAUGAGACGGCGUCUAAGGAAGGAUGUGAUCAGAUUGCUGGAUUUGUUCAUUACCGGUUUACUCUAGAGGAAGAGAUACCUGUUCUGUAUGUGUAUGAAAUUCAGCUGGAGUCUCGGAUUCAAGGAAAAGGAUUGGGAGAGUUUUUGAUGCAGUUGAUUGAGCUCAUUGCCUCCAAGAAUCAGAUGAGUGCUAUCGUGCUUACUGUUCAAACAUCCAAUGCAUUGGCGAUGACCUUCUACAUGAGCAAGCUAGGGUAAGAGAUACAGAAUAUCUAGCAUUUCACCAUCGAAAGCUAAUCUUCCGACAUUCUCGGCGAAGUAUGAGAUACUUUGCAAAACAUUUGAUUCUGAAGCUAAAUCUGUAUUGGAGAAGAGUGACGGAGAACCAACCAGAGAUUGCGUAUCAAGCAUUGAAUAGCUCAUAGUUUUACUACCAAACCAAUUUUUGUGACAAGGUACAAUAAUAAAACAAGACACAGUUGAAGACUUUUGUUCCUCCGAUGGCAGUUCAGUUCAUACUUCACACCAAGAGACUGAGAAACUCAUACUCCAAUGCUAACAAGCCUGUUGAAGUAAUUUGUGUGCCUGCCCAACUGAGUCCUUGCAACAAACCAGUAAUUUGCCAUCAACAGAGACUAUGUUUGGUAAGCUGUGAGUAUUUGUAUGGUUUAUUAACCUUUAGAAGAGAUUGUACAAAUUUCUAAAUUAGGAGUUGGGAGUGAUUUGAGCGAGAAACAAAUCUUGUACUGGGUUUUGAUAUUUAUGAAUCAGAGAUAUUAAUUUUAACAACUUUUCAAUUCAA